UGGUAUAUAGCCUUCACCUCACACACACUCUAGUUGCCAGAUUGUCAAGUCCAGUACUUCCUUCCAGCGUUUUCUUGUAUUGCCUCUCGUGUAUUGAUCCUGAUUACCUUGACCGCCGAACCCUGUCUGAACCCUGCCUGUACUUUCGCCUGCAUAAGAACCCUGCUUGAUCAUUUGACCGAGCAAACACUGACACUUUCUCUAUCCAACAAAAGAGUGUACAAACACAUUACCUCUGGGUGAUAUUGUACACUGUUCCGGGUGGGGUGCCAGGUCCAGGGUCCCACCUCAGCACAUGGUAGAAAUUGUGGGAAUCAAUAGAAACGUUCACCGGAGCAGGAAGGGAAGUGAGCACUGUGUAAGCAAAUUAACACAAGAUGCCGAGUGAGUUGAGCAGCGCCGCAGGACUAACACAAGAUCCAAAGUGUGAACACAGAAUGAAGCAAUGUGACGUAAAGAAUGAGGAGGACGCAGUUCAUCUUUGCAUCAGAAAUCUAUAAAUAAUGGCUCCGUCCACUGCCUGCAAAGAGAGUAGAAACAGGCCUCUGCAUUAUAAACGCAAACAUUC